GAUGAAGAACGCAGUGAAAUGCGAUAAGUAGUGUGAAUUGCAGAAUUCAGUGAAUCAUCGAAUCUUUGAACGCACAUUGCGCCCCUUGGUAUUCCAUGGGGCAUGCCUGUUCGAGCGUCAUUUGUACCCUCAAGCUUUGCUUGGUGUUGGGUGUUUGUCUCGCCUUUGCGUGUAGACUCGCCUUAAAAUAAUUGGCAGCCGGCGUAUUGAUUUCGGAGCGCAGUACAUCUCGCGCUUUGCACUCAUAACGACAGCGUCCAAAAGUACAUUUUACACUCUUGACCUCGGAUCAGGUAGGGAUACCCGCUGAACUUAAGCAUAUCAAUAAGCGGAGGA
rnacentral:misc_RNA from 1 species